AGUUAAGUAAGAAAGGGCGCACGGUGGAUGCCUUGGCACUAGGAGCCGACGAA
rnacentral:rRNA from 1 species